UGACGAUGCAGGGAGUGAUCCGCUGUACACUCGCAUCACCGAACGAAAGUUUAAGCGGCAUGUGCUGUCGCCGGCUGCGAGGAUUAAGGCCGCAACAAGCGGCCUUUAAUUUUAGG
rnacentral:sRNA from 12 species